rnacentral:tRNA from 1 species
AGGGGCUUAGGAUAACGCCUAGACCAAGAGCCUUCAAAGCCCUAAGUGAGAGUUUAAAUCUCUCAGCCCCUG